rnacentral:piRNA from 1 species
UGGCCUCGAGUUGGACCAGUCAUAGGUUG